rnacentral:lncRNA from 10 species
AGCGGCCGCAGUGGCCGCAGGGUGCCCGGUCGCCGCCCCCUCCGCCCGCAGUUCCCGGGGCCUGAGCCUCCGCGAGCCGGGAUAGGACCGAGUGGCGGGGCUCGGAGCCGCCUCGGCAGGCGCGGCCCUUCCCUCCCUGCAGGGAUUCCCGUCCUCUCGGGUCCCGCUGCCCCGCCCCGACUGCGGACGGAGUGGAUGGGGUGCACCGCCUCAGACCCGCUUCCUGGGGUCGCGAACUUCCCGGGCCCCAAGGUCCCUGCCACCUCUUCCAAAUGCUGGAGGACUACGCACUUCUACAAGUGAGAAUGUUCAUCUAUAAUUGUUCAUCAGACCAGGCUAAAUAAGGAUAAUGGCACAAAAGAAAAAUAAGACCCAAAUGGAGACAUCAACCACAGACACCUGGCAAAAAAUCUUCUGCUAAAACCUGAUUUUGUGACAAAAUGCUGCCUUAUCUUGCUGAUGAUUUCAUGGACAAUAAAAGGAAAGAAGAUGAAGAAGAACAUUCUAAGGUCCCUAACCUUUGCACUUUGCUGCUCCGAUUGAAUGUCAAAGUCGACAAGUGUCAAUAAUGGAAUUUGAAUGCUUGUUGGUUUGUCUGUGCAACAGCAGUUCUAUCAAUGCUCAGAACGUCUUGGUCUUCCUUUAUUUUUUCUUUCAAUACAUGUUCAUCUAGAUUUGACCUUCCAAAUUGGACUUUUAAAAAAUCACUUAUUUGGCCAGGCGCAAUGGCUCACACCUGUAAUCCAAGCACUUUGGGAGGCCAGUUCGAGACCAGCCUGGACAACAUGGUGAAAACCUGUCUCUACUAAAAAUGCCAAAUUUCCCAGCACUUUGGGAGGCUGAGGUGGGUGGAUCACGAGGUCAGGAGAUCGAGACCAUCCUGGCUAACACGGUGAAACCCCGUCUCUACUAAAAAUACAAAAAAAUUAGCCGGGCGUGGUGGCAGGCGCCUGUAGUCCCAGCUACUCAGGAGGCUGAGGGAGGAGAAUGGCAUAAACCCAG